UACGUAGGUGGCGAGCGUUGUCCGGAUUUCUUGGGUUUAAAGGGUGCGUAGGCGGUCCUAUAAGUCAGUGGUGAAAUAUCGCAGCUCAACUGUGAGGGUGCCAUUGAUACUGUAGGACUUGAGUGAAUUUGAGGUAGGCGGAAUUGACGGUGUAGCGGUGAAAUGCUUAGAUAUCGUCAAGAACACCGAUAGUGAAGACAGCUUACCAAGCUUCAACUGACGCCGAGGCACGAAAGUGUGGGGAUCAAACAGG
rnacentral:rRNA from 1 species